AUGAGCGACACACGGUGCACCAUUACAUGUUAUGACCCGAAACGAUUUUGUCGGGUCUUAUAUAAUGAAUCACAACAGUCGUUUCUUUUCUAAAACCCUAGCUAUCAAAAUCGUUUUUCUUCUUCUUGAAUCAUCUAUGAUCCAGAUGAUGUUCUAUGUAUUGAAUCAUCUAUGAUCCAGCGAUUUAACCUUCAACCUUCAUGUGCUAGAACCAUCAAGAAUACUGAAUACUGAUUGAUCGAGAAGCUAAUGGAAGAAGGAGUAGGAUUGGAGAUGGACUUCACCAACCUUGGUGUUGUCGCUGACUCUAUAGAUGCCUUAAUUACAUUUCCUCUCCGUCAUUGGUCUUAAGGAUACCAAAAGAAAAGGGGAUAAACCCUAGUUCAACAAAUCACCAAAUUGAAGGAGUAUUUGGGUCUCAAAUUCGUGCAUGAACGCGUAAAAACGAUCACCAAGUCAUGGGGAUCACAAG
rnacentral:lncRNA from 1 species